CUACGGGGGGUGCAAGCGUUGUCCGGAAUCAUUGGGCGUAAAGGGUUCGUAGGUGGAAUUAUAAGUCUGGUGUGAAAGCCCACAGCUCAACUGUGGAACUGCACUGGAUACUGUUUUUCUUGAGUUAUAGAGGGGUUUGUGGAAUUUCUGGUGUAGAGGUGAAAUUUGUAGAGAUCAGAAAGAACACCGGUGGCGAAGGCGACAAACUGGCUAUUAACUGACACUGAGGAACGAAAGCGUGGGGAGCGAACAGCAUUAGAAACCCUUGUAGUCC
rnacentral:rRNA from 1 species